CCUACGGGAGGCAGCAGUGAGGAAUAUUGGUCAAUGGGCGCUAGCCUGAACCAGCCAAGUAGCGUGAAGGAUGACUGCCCUAUGGGUUGUAAACUUCUUUUAUAUGGGAAUAAAGUGCAGUAUGUAUACUGCUUUGCAUGUACCUUAUGAAUAAGGAUCGGCUAACUCCGUGCCAGCAGCCGCGGUAAUACGGAGGAUCCGAGCGUUAUCCGGAUUUAUUGGGUUUAAAGGGAGCGUAGGCGGGUUGUUAAGUCAGUUGUGAAAGUUUGCGGCUCAACCGUAAAAUUGCAGUUGAUACUGGCAUCCUUGAGUACAAUAGGGGUGGGCGGAAUUCGUGGUGUAGCGGUGAAAUGCUUAGAUAUCUCGAAGAACUCCGAUUGCGAAGGCAGCCUGCUGGACUGUAACUGACGCUGAUGCUCGAAAGUGUGGGUAGCAAACAGGAUUAGAUACCCGAGUAGUC
rnacentral:rRNA from 1 species